rnacentral:piRNA from 1 species
UGAGCCAAGUCCACGGUCACUAUGGGA